rnacentral:rRNA from 1 species
CAUUACCGAGUUCUAGGGGUCUUCGGACCUCUUCUCUCACACCCUAUGUGUACCUACCUCUGUUGCUUUGGCGGGCCGCGGUCCUCCGCGGCCGGCCCCCUAACCGGGGCUGGCCAGCGCCCGCCAGAGGACUACCAAACUCCAGUCAGUAAACGUAGCUGUCUGAUCAAAAGUUUAAUAAACUAAAACUUUCAACAACGGAUCUCUUGGUUCUGGCAUCGAUGAAGAACGCAGCGAAAUGCGAUAAGUAAUGUGAAUUGCAGAAUUCAGUGAAUCAUCGAAUCUUUGAACGCACAUUGCGCCCCUUGGUAUUCCGAGGGGCAUGCCUGUUCGAGCGUCAUUUCACCACUCAAGCUCUGCUUGGUAUUGGGCGCCGUCCUUCAUCGGACGCGCCUCAAAGACCUCGGCGGUGGCGUCUUGCCUCAAGCGUAGUAGAAAACACCUCGCUUUGGAGGACGGGACGUUCGCUCGCCGGACGAACCUUCUGAAUUUUCUCAAGGUUGACCUCGGAUCAGGUAGGGAUACCCGCUGAACUUAAGCAUAUCAAUAAGCGGAGGAAAAGAAACCAACUGGGAUUGCCUUAGUAACGGCGAGUGAAGCGGCAAUAGCUCAAAUUUGAAAGCUGGCUCCUUCGGAGUCCGCGUUGUAAUUUGUAGAGGAUGCUUCGGCAAGGGCUCCCGUCUAAGUCCCCUGGAACGGGGCGUCACAGAGGGUGAGAAUCCCGUAUGUGAUGGGUUGCCUAAGCCAUGUGAAGCUCCUUCGACGAGUCGAGUUGUUUGGGAAUGCAGCUCUAAAUGGGAGGUAAAUUUCUUCUAAAGCUAAAUACCGGCCAGAGACCGAUAGCGCACAAGUAGAGUGAUCGAAA